UACGUAGGGGCUAGCGUUGUCCGGAUUUAUUGGGCGUAAAGAGCGUGUAGGCGGCCAGGUAGGUCUGGUGUGAAAACUCGAGGCUACCUCGAGAGCUCGGAACCAACUCUGGCUAGAGCCGGAAGAGGAGAGUGGAAUUCCUGGUGUAGCGGUGAAAUGCGCAGAUAUCAGGAAGAACACCAUGCGAAGGCAGCUCUCUCGA
rnacentral:rRNA from 1 species